rnacentral:lncRNA from 1 species
CAAGAAUGACCAGCUGUCUUGUCUUUAUUCAAUCCUCAGAUUCCCUCACCCUCAUCCAUGAGAAGUUGUAGCACUGGCAUUACAACAAAUUGGAGGUCCCACCGAGAUUGGGAAAGAAGGGAAAACACUGAAGGAUCACCCAGGAAAGCUGGCCAGCAUUAAGAUUCCCUCACCUGAAACCAUGAGAAGUUGUAGAGCUGGCAUUACAACACAUCUUACACUUGACAGAAUGACUAAGAUGAAAAACACAAGUGACAAGUCAUGAUGGCAAGCAUGUGGAGCAAGGGGAACAUGCUUCCAUUGCUGAUUUUUCUCUCAAUGGAGGCUGAAGACUUCUAGAGAAUCCAUCACUGUCUUAGUCAGGGCUUCAAUUGCUGUAACAAAAUAUCAUGACCAAAAAAUCAGAUGUAUCUCUCAGCUACUACACCAGCACCAUGCUUGCCAGCUGCCUGCCACCAUAAGGAUAGUGGACUAGCCCUCUGAAACUGUAAGCAGACCCCAGUUAAAUGCUUUCUUUUAUAAGAGUUGCCUUGGUUAUGGUGUCUCUUCACAGCAAAAGAACACAGACACAGACAUUUUGAAAAUAAGAAAGUACAAUUGAUUUUAAGAUAGACUUAAAUACAAACUAGAUAAAUAACAAUUUAAAAGAUAGUGUAAGAUGUGGAGCUG